UACGUAGGGGGCGAGCGUUGUCCGAAGUUACUGGGCGUAAAGCGCGCGUAGGCGGUCUCUUAAGUCCGGGGUGAGAGGUUCAGCGCUCAACGCGAACAGUGCCCUGGAGACUGGGGGACUUGAGUGUGGGAGGGGGCAGUGGAAUUCCGGGUGUAGCGGUGAAAUGCGUAGAUAUCCGGAGGAACACCGAUGGCGAAGGCAGCUGCCUGGCCUGACACUGACGCUGAGGUGCGAAAGCGUGGGGAGCGAACGGG
rnacentral:rRNA from 1 species